rnacentral:rRNA from 1 species
UACGGAGGAUGCAAGCGUUAUCCGGAUUUAUUGGGUUUAAAGGGUGCGCAGGCGGAUAGUUAAGUCAGCGGUGAAAUCUCACGGCUCAACCGUGGAACUGCCGUUGAUACUGGCUGUCUGGAGUACGGACGGCGCCGGCGGAAUGUGUCAUGUAGCGGUGAAAUGCUUAGAUAUGCCACAGAACACCGAUCGCGAAGGCAGCUGGUGAGGCCGGUACUGACGCUCAGGCACGAAAGCGUGGGGAUCAAAC